GUGGGGAAUAUUGGACAAUGGGCGAAAGCCUGAUCCAGCCAUGCCGCGUGUGUGAAGAAGGUCUUCGGAUUGUAAAGCACUUUAAGUUGGGAGGAAGGGCAGUAAGUUAAUACCUUGCUGUUUUGACGUUACCAACAGAAUAAGCACCGGCUAACUUCGUGCCAGUAGCCGCGGUAAUACGAAGGGUGCAAGCGUUAAUCGGAAUUACUGGGCGUAAAGCGCGCGUAGGUGGUUUUGUAAGUUGGAGGUGAAAUCCCCGGGCUCAACCUGGGAACUGCCUCCAAAACUGCAUGACUAGAGUACGGUAGAGGGUAGUGGAAUUUCCUGUGUAGCGGUGAAAUGCGUAGAUAUAGGAAGGAACACCAGUGGCGAAGGCGACUACCUGGACUGAUACUGACACUGAGGUGCGAAAGCGUGGGGAGCAAACAGGAUUAGAAACCCGAGUAGUCC
rnacentral:rRNA from 1 species